rnacentral:rRNA from 1 species
UACAGAGAGUGCGAACGUUGUUCGGAAUUACUGGGCUUAAAGCGCACGUAGGCGGCAUCGUAAGUGUCCGGUGAAAUCCCACGGCUCACCCGUGGAACUGCCUGGCAGACUGCGAUGCUCGAGUGUGGUAGGGGAGAGCGGAACUCCUGGUGGAGCGGUGAAAUGCGUAGAUAUCAGGAGGAACACCGGUGGCGAAGGCGGCUCUCUGGUCCAUGUCUGACGCUGAGGAACGAAAGCCAGGGGAGCAAACGGG